rnacentral:rRNA from 2 species
GACGAGGGACCCUAGCGUUGUUCGGAAUCAUUGGGCGUAAAGCGGGUGCAGGUGGCUUUAUAAGUCAGAUGUGAAAGCCCUGGGCUUAACCCAGGAAGUGCAUUUGAUACUGCAAAGCUUGAGUGCUGGAGAGGUUACUGGAAUACCUGGUGUAGUGGUGAAAUACGUAGAUAUCAGGUGGAACACCGGUGGCGAAGGCGGGUAACUGGCCAGACACUGACACUCAAACCCGAAAGCGUGGGGAUCAAACAGG